rnacentral:rRNA from 1 species
AACCGAACGGAAGGUAGAGGGAUGACGUCAAGUCCUCAUGGCCCUUAUAGGUGGGGCUACACACGUCAUACAAUGGCUGGUACAAAGGGUUGCCAACCCGCGAGGGGGAGCCAAUCCCAUAAAGCCAGUCGUAGUCCGGAUCGCAGUCUGCAACUCGACUGCGUGAAGUCGGAAUCGCUAGUAAUCGUGGAUCAGCAUGUCACGGUGAAUACGUUCCCGGGUCUU